rnacentral:rRNA from 1 species
GACGAAACGCUGGCGGCGCGCUUAAACACAUGCAAGUCUACUUGAUCCUUCGGGUGAUGGUGGCGGACGGGUGAGUAACGCGUAAAAGAACUUGCCCUGCAGUCUGGGACAACAUUUGGAAACGAAUGCUAAUACCGGAUAUUAUGUGAGUUUUCGCAUGAAAUUCAUAUGAAAGCUAUAUGCGCUGCAGGAGAGCUUUGCGUCCUAUUAGCUAGUCGGUGAGGUAACGGCUCACCAAGGCGAUGAUAGGUAGCCGGCCUGAGAGGGUGAACGGCCAC